rnacentral:rRNA from 1 species
GUGUCAGCAGCCGCGGUAAUACAGAGGGGGCAAGCGUUGUUCGGAAUUACUGGGCGUAAAGGGCGCGUAGGCGGCCUGUUAAGUCGAACGUGAAAUCCCCGGGCUCAACCCGGGAACUGCGUCCGAAACUGGCAGGCUCGAAUUCGGGAGAGGGAUGCGGAAUUCCAGGUGUAGCGGUGAAAUGCGUAGAUAUCUGGAGGAACAUCGGUGGCGAAGGCGGCAUCCUGGACCGAUAUUGACGCUGAGGCGCGAAAGCCAGGGGAGCAAACGGGAUUAGAUACCCGCGUAGUCC